AAACUUCCUUCGGGGUUGGUGGGAGUUCAGGGUUUGUGAGGGGUGUAGGUCCUGGCCCCGUAGUGGUGACAUGCUUGAGGUGCAGACUUUUACAGCUGGGUAGUUUAUCCUUGCAGAAAGCAGGUCUUCAACUAAGUACUGAAACAUAUAAACAAAAAUCUAGUUCUCCACCUCUAAAGAAAGCUCAGCAGCAUAUUCUCCGGGAAAUCUGCUACGAAUGAGGCCAAUAAUCCAUGGAUCUCACCAAACAAAUACUCUCUAGCUCCUUUUUUUCCUCUCUUUCAGUAAAAGUCUUCUAUUAUGUUAUUGCCAGAGCGAUGGCACCAUGCCCAUAAUAACACAGAUGGCAAUUUGAGUAGCUUUUAGGAAAUAGCAAUAAAGUGCUAGGUUUGAAAAUAAUAACAACUUGGGCAUAUGAGUGUGCCCUGCUCUGGUGUGUGUGAGAUAAUUAUUGGGAUAUGCUGAGUUCUUUCCUUAACAAGCCUGCUGUUGAACCCCCUCAGCAGUGCAUUGACCCACACUACAGCCCUGAUCCUGCAGUGUGGCCCACACGGAGAGGCUGUGUAGUCACUGGUGGGCUCCGUUGAAGUGGGUGGGUAGAAGGGUUGGUCCAUCAUUAGUAUUAUAAUAGCACCUAGCAGCCAACCGCGAAUGGGGCCCUAUUGCGCUCAGUGCUGUACAGAGUAAGAGACGGUCCCUGAAGAUACUGUCCUCUGUGUAGACAAGGGAAGAGUGUAGUGCCUGAUUCCUUGCUUACUAAAAAUUACCACUGAUGGUGCAGUGCAGGAGUAGCCUGGUGAAAUUCAGUAGCCUCUUUAGGAUCAGCAUUUAGAGGAACACUGCCGUGUGAUUUCGUGCCCAAGGAUAGAGUCCAUGAAGUUUUACACAACGAAUAUGAAUAAUGUUUUAUGACUUUUUUUAAUAAACUGAAAUGAGAGAAGCUGUUUUGGACCCUGAUGCAGCAGUCUUGGCUUGAAUGGGAGUCUUGGUGGGUCUUGGGCCCUGCCACACGGUUCAGAUUGCAGGCUUGGUUUGGAUUGAAGCAUUCCCCCUGCAGAGUCUGCCAUCCAAACACCACGGAUCCAGCUAAAUCCUUGAGAACCGGGAAGUGAAUCUGACUAGUUGCGUUUCACUGUCCGACGGGAGUCAGAUUAAAAAAAUAAGCAAAUGGUGAAAAGUAAACCAGAUUUAAAACAAAAAAUCUGCUUUACUCUCAAGAUCAUUAAGUAACAUAGGAAAGCUGUUUUAUGGGAAGGAUUUUUUUUUUAAAAAAUCUUAAUGUCCUUUUAAUGUAGUGUUUCUGGACGUGAAAUAAAACUUUCUGCAAUGCAAAUGAUUCAGCUGCUAGCACUCCUACUAUUGCAGUUUAUCAAGACAGUUGGAUCUGGUUUUGAGCUAUAGUAAAUGCAGUGGCACAAGCUGUGUUCCCAAAAGGUAACCUAGCAGACUUGUACAAUCUUUUGCUUCCUUAGAAACGCAGUUUAUCUUUGUUCUCUUUGCAAGAAAUGUAUCACAUAUUCGAAUGUUUUAAGGCAAAUGCUAGAAUAAUAAAAGUCAAACAGCCCAGUAUUUCCAUUCUCCUGUGUAUAGGAAAGCCAUGUAAUGUAGUUUACAAAAAUAACAUGGUGUUGUCUUAGAAACUUCUAGUGCAUGAGAGAUGGGGGAGAUUGUUGCUUGUGAAUAGAUUAAAUAUAGGUUAUUUUUAAGAUACAGAAUUAAUAUACAGAAGGUCUGCUUAAGAACAAUAAGAAUAAACCUUUUUGAAUAUGAA